UACGUAGGGGGCAAGCGUUAUCCGGAUUUACUGGGUGUAAAGGGAGCGUAGACAGCGAUGCAAGCCAGAUGUGAAAGCCCGGGGCUCAACCCCGGGACUGCAUUUGGAACUGUGUGGCUGGAGUGUCGGAGAGGCAGGCGGAAUUCCUAGUGUAGCGGUGAAAUGCGUAGAUAUUAGGAGGAACACCAGUGGCGAAGGCGGCCUGCUGGACGAUGACUGACGUUGAGGCUCGAAAGCGUGGGGAGCAAACAGG
rnacentral:rRNA from 1 species